rnacentral:rRNA from 1 species
GGGCUUUGGCGGGUAGGCUUACACAUGCAGUCGUGCGAGAAAGUAUCUUCGGAUAUGAGUAGAGCGGCGGACGGGUGAGUAACGCGUAGGAAUCUACCUAGUAGAAGGGGAUAGCCCGAGGAAACUCGGAUUAAUACCGUAUACCUCCUUCGGGAGAAAGAAGGCCUCUCAUUGAAGCUUUCGCUACUAGAUGAGCCUGCGUAAGAUUAGCUUGUUGGUGAGGUAAAGGCUCACCAAGGCAACGAUCUUUAGCGGGUCUGAGAGGACGAUCCGCCACAUUGGGGCUGAGACACGGCCCAGACUCCUACGGGAGGCAGCAGUGGGGAAUAUUGGACAAUGGGCGCAAGCCUGAUCCAGCCAUACCGCGUGUGUGAAGAAGGCCCUAGGGUUGUAAAGCACUUUAAGUUGGGAAGAAAAGUUAUUGGCUAAUACCCAAUGACCGUGACAUUACCUUCAGAAUAAGGACCGGCUAAUUCCGUGCCAGCAGCCGCGGUAAUACGGAAGGUCCAAGCGUUAAUCGGAAUUACUGAGCGUAAAGCGCGCGUAGGUGGUUUAUUAAGUUGGAUGUGAAAUCCCCGGGCUCAACCUGGGAACUGCAUCCAAAACUGAUUCACUAGAGUACGAUAGAGGGAGGUAGAAUUCACAGUGUAGCGGUGGAAUGCGUAGAUAUUGUGAAGAAUACCAAUGGCGAAGGCAGCCUCCUGGAUCUGUACUGACACUGAGGUGCGAAAGCGUGGGUAGCGAACAGGAUUAGAUACCCUGGUAGUCCACGCCGUAAACGAUGUCAACUAGCUGUUGGGGAACUAUGUUCUUCAGUGGCGCAGCUAACGUAGUAAGUUGACCGCCUGGGGAGUACGGCCGCAAGGCUAAAACUCAAAUGAAUUGACGGGGACCCGCACAAGCGGUGGAGCAUGUGGUUUAAUUCGAUGCAACGCGAAAAACCUUACCUAUACUUGACAUACUUGGGAAUGCUUUGUAAUGAAGCAGUGCCCUCGGGAGCCAAGAUACAGUGCUGCAUGCUGUCGUCAGCUCGUGUCGUGAGAUGUCGUAGUCGGAUAACGAGCGCAUCCUUACCUUAUUUGCAGCGAUUCGUCGAAACUAUAGGGGACUGCGUGAUUACGAAGGAGUGAAGACGACGUCAGUCAUCAUGCCCUACGUAUAGGCUACACG